rnacentral:rRNA from 1 species
UACGUAGGCAGCAAGCGUUGUUCGGAGUUACUGGGCGUAAAGGGUGUGUAGGCGGUUCUUUUAAGUUUGGUGUGAAAUCUCCCGGCUCAACCGGGAGGGUGCGCCGAAUACUGAGGGACUCGAGUGCGGGAGAGGAGAGUGGAAUUCCUGGUGUAGCGGUGAAAUGCGCAGAUAUCAGGAAGAACACCCGUGGCUAAGGCGGCUCUCUAGUACGGUACUGACGCUGAGACGCGAAAGCGUGGGGAGCGAACAGG